rnacentral:misc_RNA from 1 species
UGGAACGGCGUGGUACAC